UCUUUUCAUUGUGUGCCAGCCGCCGCGGUAAUACGUAGGUGGCGAGCGUUGUCCGGAAUUAUUGGGCGUAAAGAGCAUGUAGGCGGCUUAAUAAGUCGAGCGUGAAAAUGCGGGGCUCAACCCCGUAUGGCGCUGGAAACUGUUAGGCUUGAGUGCAGGAGAGGAAAGGGGAAUUCCCAGUGUAGCGGUGAAAUGCGUAGAUAUUGGGAGGAACACCAGUGGCGAAGGCGCCUUUCUGGACUGUGUCUGACGCUGAGAUGCGAAAGCCAGGGUAGCGAACGGG
rnacentral:rRNA from 1 species